UACGGGGGGUGCGAGCGUUGUCCGGAUUUACUGGGCGUAAAGAGCGCGCAGGCGGCUGGUCAAGUCCGAUGUGAAAUCUCCCGGCUCAACUGGGAAACUGCAUCGGAAACUGAUCGGCUUGAAGGUGGGAGAGGGUAGUGGAAUUCCCGGUGUAGUGGUGAAAUGCGUAGAUAUCGGGAGGAACACCAGUGGCGAAGGCGACUACCUGGCCCAUUCUUGACGCUGAGGCGCGAAAGCUAGGGGAGCGAACGGG
rnacentral:rRNA from 1 species